rnacentral:rRNA from 1 species
AGUGAACGCUGGCGGUAGGCCUAACACAUGCAAGUCGAACGGCAGCACAGUAAGAGCUUGCUCUUACGGGUGGCGAGUGGCGGACGGGUGAGAAAUACAUCGGAAUCUACUUUUUCGUGGGGGAUAACGUAGGGAAACUUACGCUAAUACCGCAUACGACCUACGGGUGAAAGCAGUGGAUCUUCGGACCUUGCCCGAUUCAAUGAGCCGAUGUCGGAUUAGCUAGUUGGCGGGGUAAAGGCCCACCAAGGCGACGAUCCGUAGCUGGUCUGAGAGGAUGAUCAGCCACACUGGAACUGAGACACGGUCCAGACUCCUACGGGAGGCAGCAGUGGGGAAUAUUGGACAAUGGGCGCAAGCCUGAUCCAGCCAUACCGCGUGGGUGAAGAAGGCCUUCGGGUUGUAAAGCCCUUUUGUUGGGAAAGAAAAGCAGCAGGUUAAUACCCCGCUGUUCUGACGGUACCCAAAGAAUAAGCACCGGCUAACUUCGUG